rnacentral:rRNA from 1 species
GUGUCAGCCGCCGCGGUAAUACAGAGGGUGCGAGCGUUAAUCGGAUUUACUGGGCGUAAAGCGCGCGCAGGCGGCUAAUUAAGUCAAAUGUGAAAUCCCCGAGCUUAACUUGGGAAUUGCAUUCGAUACUGGUUAGCUAGAGUGUGGGAGAGGAUGGUAGAAUUCCAGGUGUAGCGGUGAAAUGCGUAGAGAUCUGGAGGAAUACCGAUGGCGAAGGCAGCCAUCUGGCCUAACACUGACGCUGAGGUGCGAAAGCAUGGGGAGCAAACAGGAUUAGAUACCCGGGUAGUCC